GACGAACGCUGGCGGCGUGCCUAACACAUGCAAGUCGAGCGGAGCCAAUUAACAGAUCCCUUCGGGGUGAAGUUGAGGAAGCUUAGCGGCGGACGGGUGAGUAACGCGUGAGUAACCUGCCUUUCAGAGGGGGAUAACAGUUGGAAACGACUGCUAAUACCGAAUAAGAUGCAACUGUUGUGGUUGCAUUGAAAGGAGCCCUUAAAGCUUUGCGAAGAGAAAGGCCUGCGGCGUAUUAACUAGUUGGUGGGGUAAUGGCCUACCAAGGUAACGAUGCGUAGCCGAACUGAGAGGUUGAACGGCACACUGGGACUGAGACACGGCCCAGACUCCUACGGGAGACAGCAGUUAGGGAUAUUCGUCAAUGGAGGAAAACUCUGAACGAGCAAUGCCGCGUGAGUGAAGAAAGGUUCUAUGGAUUGUAAAAACUCUGUUGUAUGGGAAGAACGUUACUAUUAGGAAAUGAAUAGUAAGUGACGGUACCAUACGAGAAAG
rnacentral:rRNA from 1 species